GGCCUCUCCAUCCUGAUAGCGAGGGAGGCCUCAUCGGGUUUGACCCCGGCAUGCUUUGACACCUUUUUCACUGUUGGAAGAUGCUCUGACUUUAAAGUAGAAAGCAGACUUGACUGAAGCUGAUUGACACAGGUCAAGGGGACUUCAAGGAAGAAAGCCAGCCUUAGACUGACAUCAGAGAACCAAACUCCGGUGUCUAAGCUCAAGAGGUUAGAAUCCUGAGAACUGUUUGGAAUAAGGAAUCCAAAUAUUGUCUUCCAGCUUCACCUUGUCACGACAGUCCUCGCCAGGGACAGCUGAGACCUCUUCUCUGCCUCCCAGCUCCCAUGGCGCCUCUCUCGAUACGUGGCCUCUUCUGAUACUUACCUCAGCUUGGACACAGCUCUCUGAAGAUCAUCUACAUCUCCAUUUAUGCCGUGUGCACGCAGUACCAACAGAGGUCAGAGGAGGGUGUCGGAUCCCCUGGAACUGGAGUCACAGAUUCUUCCUUGCGUGGAUGAAACAGUCCCAACGAACACUUUAAAAAGACAAAUGUUCCCGACAGCACUGGUUGAAUUCAAAACUCGGCAGAUCCAUGUUCUUAUCCUUAGACAAGAGAGGGGCCAUAACAAGAUGGAAUGACGGAACAGACGUGAGAGAUGAUGGUACAGUGACUCGGGUAACCCCAGAAAAGGGACAGCUCUUCUACAGCUCAGUGGGGACAGGGACAAAAAGAAACAAUUUCAUUUCAGUCCACCCAGAGGGUCUGCACUUCUCGGAGCCAGAAGGUGGAGAAGAGUAGGGAUGGAGGAAGUUCGAAGUUUUAGGAGUCUGCUCUUGGGUCCCUAGGCAUGAGGACAAGCUUUUCCUGUACUCAAUGCUCAUCUCUCAGUUGUGCCCACAUUGGUACACAUUACUUGCUUUCAACUGCUGCUGCUGCUGUUUCCUAAUUCAAUAAAGAUAUGGCUGGCUCAGCAGAGAGCUGUCAUCCA
rnacentral:lncRNA from 1 species